rnacentral:rRNA from 1 species
ACGUAGGCUCCAAGCGUUGUCCGGAUUUAUUGGGCGUAAAGAGCUCGUAGGCGGUUCAGCAAGUCGGGUGUGAAAACUCUGGGCUCAACCCAGAGCCUGCACCCGAAACUGCUGUGACUAGAGUUCGGUAGGGGAGUGGGGAAUUCCUAGUGUAGCGGUGAAAUGCGCAGAUAUUAGGAGGAACACCGAUGGCGAAGGCACCACUCUGGGCCGAAACUGACGCUGAGGAGCGAAAGCGUGGGUAGCAAACAGG